rnacentral:lncRNA from 1 species
GUAAACACUUACUGUAUUUCCUUAUCACAUCUGUACUCCAGGCACAAAUGACCUGGACAGGUGGUUGGGCGGGCUUGGUCUUAGGACCCUUAGUUCCAGAAAGUAAGUGCAGAGCCCUGGAGGCCCCGUGUCCCUAGGGUCAUGGACAUCCACACCCUUAUUUACCGGGUGCAAAUUCCUGAACAUGUAGGUCUUCACAGAGAAGCGGAGCCUUCAAGGCUGUUCCCUGUCCCCAGGUGCUGACUGCCCAGGCCCCAGUUCAAAAUCCACCUCUGCCUUAGCAGGAGGCCAAGGCUCCAAAGAUCGCGGGUUGUGAAAUCCAGGCCCCAGGAGAGGGCGCCGGCGGUUGGGCGCCCAGGGCAGCGGUGCUGCCGCCUCACUGGCUGCCGGGCCCGGGAGAAUCUCUUCUUAGUGGGAGCGGGGAGGUCACCUGUGGGGAUGCGAUCGCUGACUCUAGAAGGCGCUUCUCUUUGGGAAAACUCAGCACCCCAGCACCUGUCAGAUUUCAGGGUGUCUGGGUGUGGGGCAGGCUGCUGGGGCCCCCUGGUGUCCGAGAUGGAUGCGGAGGACUGGGCAGCAGGCCUGGCACGAGGCCGGCACGGACCCAGGGUCCUGGCUGUGGAGAGGCAGGUGGCAGGGGGGCCGCUUUGUCACCGCCUCGCUGUGCCCGGCCCCGUCAGAGAAGUCAGGAUGCAGGCUCUGCUAACUGCUUCCCGUUCUGACGACUGUUUUCUUUCAUGAAGGAGAGGAAAUAAGAAAACAUUGACUUAAAGCUUUCAGGAUCCUUUGCCAUAGGUGUCCAGCCCAGCUAAGUCUAAGUAAAAAUUGGAUACACCGUUAGGAGAGGAUGAGUCCGACUUUUAGAGAGAGCAUACAAUGGCUUUGAAACACAAGCAAAAUUAAACAAGCAAGCCAUCCAGGUGACACCCUUCUGCAGCCACACACUGAUUUAGUCCAGUGAUCAUGUGAUGGCAUUCCUGUUGUUUGGAAGUCUCUGAAAAAUACCUGUAGAAUUCUUAAUACCUUAUAAAAGUACCUUCUGUAUUAACAAAGCAUUGUGGUGUGAGAAUUAGGAAAGGAGAUUAUUGUCCAUCAUGGACUGAUAGCUCUGUGAGAGGCAUUUAUUGGUGCCAGGCUUGGCCAGGAGACCACUGCGGAAGGGGCAGUGGGGAUAAAGCAAGGUGCCUGCUCCCAGCCUUGCCGGCCUGAGAGGGAGCCCAGGUUUCUGUCCUCUGGAACAUCUCAGUUCUGCCCUGGGCAGAUUCUAUGCCAAAGCAGCAGCCUCUGACACUGCACGGAGCUGUCUCGGCCAGAUUCAGAGGCACCCGGCAUACACAUGGAUUGUGAGAAUUAACCAUGUUUUGUCAUCUGCCACUGUGGUGUGUGGGACUGUUUGUUACACAGCAGUAACUGGCAGUUACAUGAGUGAGUUUAUGGAAAAUAAAGUCUGUGUUUAGAUUGAGUUGUAUUAUUUUGAG